rnacentral:rRNA from 1 species
AACGAACGCUGGCGGCAGGCCUAACACAUGCAAGUCGAACGCCGUAGCAAUACGGAGUGGCAGACGGGUGAGUAACGCGUGGGAACCUACCUUACGGUCGGGAAUAGCUCAGGGAAACUUGGGGUAAUACCGGAUACGCCCUUACGGGGAAAGAUUUAUCGCCGUUAGAUGGGCCCGCGUCGGAUUAGCUAGUUGGUGAGGUAACGGCUCACCAAGGCGACGAUCCGUAGCUGGUCUGAGAGGAUGAUCAGCCACACUGGGACUGAGACACGGCCCAGACUCCUACGGGAGGCAGCAGUGGGGAAUAUUGGACAAUGGGCGCAAGCCUGAUCCAGCCAUGCCGCGUGAGUGACGAAGGCCUUAGGGUUGUAAAGCUCUUUUGGCGGGGAAGAUAAUGACGGUACCCGCAGAAUAAGCUCCGGCUAACUUCGUG